UACGAAGGGGCUAGCGUUGUUCGGAAUUACUGGCGUAAGCGCACGUAGGCGGAUUGUUAAGUUAGGGGUGAAAUCCCAGGCUCAACCCUGGAACUGCCUUUAAUACUGGCAUCUCGAGUCCGAGAGAGGUGAGUGGAAUUCCGAGUGUAGAGGUGAAAUUCGUAGAUAUUGGGAAGAACACCGGUGGCGAAGGCGGCUCACUGGCUCAUUCUGACGCUCAGGCGCGACAGCGUGGGAUCGAACAAGG
rnacentral:rRNA from 1 species